GUAUAUACGUUUGUAUAGGGAAUCACGGUGAAAAUCCGUGGCUGUGCCGCAACUGUAAAGCCAGAAAACUAUACUGCCC
rnacentral:ncRNA from 2 species